GUUUUAUUUUCGUCAAAAACAACUUUAUAUCGAAGGAGUGGCUUUGAUUUGACGGCCUGCACUUGAGCAUUUCAUUGUGUUUCUACGCAUGAGUUUAGCUAGCCAACGAUUGUGGAGAGAUGUUCUGCUUGGAUUCUUUACCAACGAUAGGAAUACGCUGAAACAUUUUUAUGUAAUUGAUUUCAUUAUUCUUUUGGCCAAAUUUCAUAUUCACAAAUGUAAAUUUGCAAACAAAAAAACAUUUUUCUUACCCUACAAAAAUAAAUUGAACUCUAUUUUAAGACAAUUAAAUACUAACAAAAAAGCUGUUAGUUAUAAGUGUAUGUAUGUCCCUUAAGGUCCUUGUGUAAUGUGAUAUUGUACCCCCUAGCUCAAUUGUCCAUUGUAUAUCAUCUAUAUAUACUUGUGUUCCCUCAUGUACUUUCUGUAUUGAUUUGUUGUUAAUAACAAACUAAAAUAAUAAUAAGUUUAGCUAGCCAACGUCGCCAUGACAUCGCCUACAACUUCUACAAGCGUGAUUGGCGAUUGCUAUUGGAAGGGCAGAUUUACUGUAUCUUCAUACUGCCUUUGACAAAGUUCUUCUUCUUCGUAUGGCUUUCCGGCAGACUAGACGCUUUCUUUAGUGUCUGUCUUUCACAGGUCGAAGUGUGAAUUGUACAUUUGUCACCAAUAAAGGGAAAACGAGAAGAAUAAAUCGCACCACCAUCGAACCCAGAGGUUCCCAACCAGCGGUACUCGGACCUCUUGCGACCCGUCAUUCAGUGCAGGCAGCUCCAAAAUGCAGGUGUUUCAGACUAGCUCAGCGCUGUGGUGGUGGGGCAGCCAGCAGAAAAUACAGAGCGUUGUGCCGUGAUUGGCCCAGUGUUCUGUCACUCAUGGGGACUUUACGUCACUGCCAAGUGUAAGAGGAGGUGGCUGCUGCCAUAGAAGUGCCCAUCCAAGAAGGCUCAAGGUCAUUGGCUACAGAUAAAAUGACUUCAAAUCACGUUAUGUACAGUAGCUUUGAUUGGACUGAUCAUGUCAACAUCAUACCUUCAAAAUCUUAGCUAGCAGUCAUCAAGAGAAAUUAUAGAUAACGCAUCGGUGCUCAUCGGCCAUUGGACAUAAACAUUACACUCAAGUGGUUUCGAAGGAAUCAAUGACAGUGGCUGUGUGUUCCCAAAUCUGGGUUUAAGAGGCUCUUUUCCCAGUUUAAAAUGAUAAACAUUCAACAUUGGCCAUGCUGUCAACGAAGCAAGAUUUGUGCUGAGGUCAAAACAACUGUUGACUUGGAAGACCGCCACACCACCUUCCUGCACAACGAUGUGAGUCCAAAAAUGUAUUGUAUGCUGCUUCAUACAUUAUGUAAUAUGCCAGGGAGAUAUAUAUACUGUAGCUAAGAAAGUAAUAUUAAGUGUAUGUUGUGUAGUAACAUGUUAGUAGCCCAUUUUCCUCACCCUAAAAAUUUGGCCUAUUUAUCCCUCGUAAUUUCGCCUAUUGUUCUGACUGUUCUUCUGUAGCCUAUAACCUGUUUUAGAGAAAUGUCAUCAUUGAAUAUUGUCUGCUUGUAUGCACCCUUUAUUUAUCCUCUGGUUCUAACUUGGUGUACAGGGAGAGCACUGUAAGAACGGCUCAUGUUCUGAAUUCUGUCGCUGUACAUUUCAAAAGUGCUAAACAAAUAGUUAUAUUGACUAAAGUUCGACCUAGCUCGCUCAAUGUCUUAAUCGAAAUUACUGGAUUGCCUCUUAUCCGCUUGUCGUGUCUUUAUGCCAUAAUAUAGUUUGUACAUCUGAAUUGUCAUUAGAAACCACAUUUGUUUUAGCAAGUCAGCCAUAUCAGCUAUGUUUUUUUAGAAAGCAGUAAAUGAGGCUGAAUGAACUGUUUUGCUGCCAGACAAGGCUCCGCUGAUAGCCAGGUGUAGCAGUGGUAAGAUGUUAGGACAGCUUUAUGUAGGCCCUAACAGUUUGGGGGCACCGUUUGUCACCGUUAUAGUACAAUUAAUGUAUUGUUUAGUGUUGUGUAGUGGCUUUCCUGGCAUGCAUUCCAUUUAAUUUAAACAUUUUCACUGAAUAGGACCCCUUGGUUCACUGGGCCUGUCCACAGGGGGUACUGGUACUUGAGAAGACUCAUGAGACCUGUCGUGUCUUUGGCUAUGCCGGAUUAAGUGAUAUGACAUGCAAUUCUAUACAAUCCUUUCUGAGCUAAUCAUGUAAAUGUAAUUAACUAGAUAGUCGGGGCACCACAAAAUAAUAUUUAUAGAGCUGUUAUCUUCCGAAUAAACUCUUAAAGACCUAGUCAUAUUUUCUAAUCGUCACCUGUCCGGGGGUGUCCUCGGAUGGGGCCACAGUGUCUCCUGACCCCUCCUGUCUCAGCCUCCAGUAUUUAUGCUGCAGUAGUUUAUGUGUCAGGGGGCUAGGGUCAGUUUGUUAUAUCUGGAGUACUUCUCCUGUCCUAUUCGGUGUCCUGUGUGAAUUUAAGUGUGCUCUCUCUAAUUCUCUCUUUCUCUCUCUCUGAGGACCUGAGCCCUAAGACCAUGCCUCAGGACUACCUGACAUGAUGACUCCUUGCUGUCCCCAGUCCACCUGGCCGUGCUGCUGCUCCAGUUUCAACUGUUCUGCCUUAUUAUUGGACCAUGCUGGUCAUUUAUGAACAUUUGAACAUCUUGGCCAUGUUCUGUUAUAAUCUCCACCCGGCACAGUCAGAAGAGGACUGGCCACCCCACAUAGCCUGGUUCCUCUCUAGGUUUCUUCCUAGGUUUUGGUCUUUCUAGGGAGUUUUUCCUAGCCACCGUGCUUCUACACCUGCAUUGCUUGCUGUUUGGGGUUUUAGGCUGGGUUAAUGUACAGCACUUUGAGAUAUCACCUGAUGUACGAAGGGCUAUAUAAAUAAAUUGGAUUUGAUUUGA